AACGAACGCUGGCGGCAGGCUUAACACAUGCAAGUCGAACGGGUGUAGCAAUACAUCAGUGGCAGACGGGUGAGUAACACGUGGGAACCUUCCUAGAGGUACGGAACAACGCAGGGAAGCUUGCGCUAAUACCGUAUACGCUCUUGCGAGGAAAGAUUUAUCGCCUUUAGACGGGCCCGCGUCGGAUUAGCUAGUUGGUAAGGUAACGGCUUACCAAGGCGACGAUCCGUAGCUGAUCUGAGAGGAUGAUCAGCCACACUGGGACUGAGACACGGCCCAGACUCCUACGGGAGGCAGCAGUGGGGAAUCUUGGACAAUGGGCGCAAGCCUGAUCCAGCCAUGCCGCGUGAGUGAAGAAGGCCUUCGGGUUGUAAAGCUCUUUUGUCAGGGACGAUAAUGACGGUACCUGAAGAAUAAGCCCCGGCAAACUUCGUGCCAGCAGCCGCGGUAA
rnacentral:rRNA from 1 species